rnacentral:rRNA from 1 species
AUUGAACGCUGGCGGAAUGCUUUACACAUGCAAGUCGGGCGGCAGCGCGGGGGCAACCCUGGCGGCGAGCGGCGAACGGGUGAGUAGUACAUCGGAACGUGUCCUUGAGUGGGGGAGUAGCUCGGCGAAAGCCGGAUUAAUACCGCAUAAGCUCUGAGGAGGAAAGCGGGGACUGGUAACGGCCUCGCGCUGUUGGAGCGGCCGAUGUCCGGAUUAGCUAGUUGGUGGGGUAAAAGGCCCACCAAGGCGACGAUCCGUAGCUGGUCUGAGAGGAUGAUCAGCCACACUGGAACUGAGACACGGUCCAGACUCCUACGGGAGGCAGCAGUGGGGAAUUUUGGACAAUGGGGGCAACCCUGAUCCAGCCAUUCCGCGUGAGUGAAAGAA